AAGACUUGUGCUUUCAGGAAUCUUUGCUCUAGCUCAUUCCUAGAGGUAUCUUGGAUCUUAUAGUGCACCCGAAACCAUGAGGAGGAGCCAGAGCACCCUGUCCUGAGCGUGAAGCCAGUUCUAGCGUUGCUUUUGCAACUGCCUUGUACAUUGAUGAUUCUUCUUUUCUUUCCUAGAAGAGGGAGAGGGAGAGGAUACAGUCUGAGUUGU